GGUUAAGUCCCGCAACGAGCGCAACCCCUAUCCUUAGUUGCCAUCAAGUAAUGUUGGGCACUCUAGGGAGACUGCCCGGGUUAACCGGGAGGAAGGUGGGGACGACGUCAAGUCAUCAUGGCCCUUACGCCUGGGGCUACACACGUACUACAAUGGUGCAUACAAAGGGUUGCGAUACCGUGAGGUGGAGCUAAUCCCAUAAAGUGCAUCCCAGUCCGGAUAGGAGUCUGCAACUCGACUCCUUGAAGUCGGAAUCGCUAGUAAUCCUGGAUCAGCAUGCCAGGGUGAAUGCGUUCCCGGGCCUUGUACACACCGCCCGUCACACCACGAAAGUUGGUUCUACCCGAAACCAGUGAGCUAACCAGCAAUGGAGGCAGCUGUCUACGGUGGGGCUGAUGAUUGGGGUGAAGUCGUAACAAGGUAGCCGUAGGGGAACCUGCGGCUGGAUCACCUCCU
rnacentral:rRNA from 1 species